AAGUUUUCAGUCUUUUAACAAUGUCCAUUAAUUUCUGAAUUCUUCUCUUUAUCUGCAUUGUCCUCUUCAAUGGAAUGGUCCUCUCCUUACUGAUCUUUCUGACUGCAGACUCAAUUUGCCUGAUGAUUCUCAGCUUCCACAAUUUCAUCUUCAUUUUCUUCUUCAAAGGAAAUGAUGAGUAGGAUAGCUCCAGAAAAGCUGAACUCCUGCAAAGUGAAGUGAACAGAACUAGGAAACACUGUAUAUAGUAUCAGCAG
rnacentral:lncRNA from 1 species